rnacentral:misc_RNA from 1 species
UUUCCGUAGGUGAACCUGCGGAAGGAUCAUUAAAAAAUGUGGUACCAUUUGUUGGUACUAAUUAAUCAUCCUACCCUUUGUGAAUUUGUUUGUAACGAAUUUUUUUAAAUGGGUCUUUCCCUAAGUUGGAUUGUAGUAAAAAUACAAAAAGACUUAGGGGAAUGACUUUUUUAAAAGACUUUUUUUUUAAAUUAAAACUUUUUGUAUUCAUUUGUCUAAAAUUUAUUUUUAUAAUAUAAAAACAACUUUUGACAAUGGAUCUCUUGGUUCUCGCAACGAUGAAGAACGCAGCAAAAUGCGAUAAGUAGUGUGAAUUGCAGAACACGUGAAUCAUCGAAUCUUCGAACGCAUAUUGCACUUUUUUAGUUUACUAAAAAGUAUGUCUGUUUGAGUAUCAGUAAAAUAUUCUCACAAAAACAAUUUGUUUUUUGUGGUUAUGAGUGUUUUACAACGAUAAACAAGUUGUUUCACUUUAAAUUCUUUUUAAUUGAAUUUUACCAAUUCAUAAAUUAAAAUUGGAUAAAAUUUUCCUUUAACGAGGAAUAACCUAAACAAUUUUAAAUUUUAUGGAUUAAUAAACAUUCAUCAAAGGAAUCUAUACAACAAAUAACUUGAUCUCAAAUCAGAUAAGAGUACCCGCUGAACUUAAGCAUAUCAAUAAGCGGAGGAAAAGAAACUAACAAGGAUUCCCUUAGUAACGGCGAGUGAAGCGGGAAGAGCUCAAAUUUGAAAUCUUCAAGGUUUGACCUUGACGAAUUGUAGUUUAUAGAAGUGUUUUCUGUUGGAGUUUUGGUAAAAGUUCUUUGGAAUAGGACAUCAUAGAGGGUGGGAAUCCCGUAUUUGACCAUGACUUUCCAGCUGUGUGCUACACUUUCAAAGAGUCGGAUUGUUUGGGAAUGCAGUCCAAAAUGGGUGGUAAAUUUCAUCCAAAGCUAAAUAUUGGCGAGAGACCGAUAGCGAACAAGUACCGUGAGGGAAAGAUGAAAAGAACUUUGAAAAGAGAGUUAAACAGUACGUGAAAUUGUCAAAAGGGAAGCGUUUGACACCAGUGUUGUUUUCUCGAGAAUCAAUUUAAUGAGUUCUUGUUUUUAAGUUAUUGUGACUUUAUCGGCGCAUUUCUUAUUUUACCUGGCUCAUUGAAUGCACUUUUCGUUUAACAAGUCAACAUCAAUUUCUUUGGUGGUAAAAAGUUUAAAGGAGGUGGCUUGGACUUCGGUUCAAGUGUUUAUAGCCUUUUUUCUAUGCCAUCGGAGAGAUAGAGGUCUGCAGCGUAGAUCCUUCGGGGUUAGAUACUUUAGUGCUAAGUUAUAGUUUUUUAUAGACAACUUGUUGACUAUAAUUAACCCUGUAAUUUACUCGCUUAGGCUAUUUUACCUACGCUUAGGAUGUUG